rnacentral:RNase_P_RNA from 1 species
AGUACGCUGGACAGCCGCGGGGACAGGGCGAAAGCCCGUCCAUGAGGAAAGUCCGGGCUCCAUAGGGCAAGGAUAGCGGGUAACGCCCGCCGAAGGCGACUUCAGGAAAAGUGCAACAGAGAUAUACCGCCGCGCUUGCGCGGUAAGGGUGGAAAGGCGAGGUAAGAGCUCACCCGACGGCGUGUGAAAGCGUCAGUCGCUGUAAACUCUAUCCGGAGCAACACCGGUAUGGGAGCAAUAGGCUUGCCCGGCCGCUCCCGAGGUGGCUGGAGCGCACCGGCGACGGUGCGCGUAGAUAGAUGGCUGUCAAAACAGAACCCGGCUUAUAGGCAUACUCG